ACGGGUGAGUAAUGCUUAUCUAACUUGCCGAUUANUGGGGGAUAACCUUGGGAAACCAGGGCUAAUACCGCAUAUUUUGGCUUUGGCCGGGAAAGGACUUCGGUUCGCUAAUUGAGAGGGAUAAGUCGUAUUAGUUUGUUGGUGGGGUAAUGGCCUACCAAGGCAAUGAUGCGCAGCCAGGCUGAGAGGCUGAUUGGCCACAAGGGAACUGAGACACGGUCCCUACUCCUACGGGAGGCAGCAGUGAGGAAUCUUCGGCAAUGGGGGAAACCCUGACCGAGCAAUACUACGUGAAGGAAGAAGGUCUACGGAUUGUAAACUUCUGUUGGCCGGGAAGAAAAAAAUGACGGUACCGGUCGAGAAAGCCACGACUAACUACGUGCCAGCAGUCGCGGUAAGACGUAGGUGGCGAACGUUAUCCGGAAUCAUUGGGCGUAAAGGGUGCGUAGAUGGUCCGCUAAGUUAGCAGUGGCAAAUUGGGGCUCAACCCCGCGGAAGUUGCUAGUACUAGCAGACUACGAGGACAGGAGAGGUUAACGGAACUCCCGGUGGAGCGGUGAAAUGCGUAGAUAUCGGGAAGAACACCAAAGGGGCGAAGGCAGUUAACUAUUCUGGUCCUGACAUUGAGGCACGAAAGCGUGGGGAGCAAAACGGAUUAGAUACCCGUGUAGUCCACGCCGUAAACGAUGAGUGCUAGGUAUUGGACGUUAGUUCAGUGCCGCUAGGUAACCCGGUAAGCACUCCGCCUGGGUAGUACGCUCGCAAGAGUGAAACUCAAAGGAAUUGACGGGGACUCGCACAAGCACUGGAGCAUGUGGUUUAAUCCGACACUGCGCGUAGAACCUUACCAAGGCCGGUGUUUCGGCAAAAGGAGAGAAAUCGAAUGGAGGUUAUCCGGAAUACUCGGUGCUGCAUGGCCGUCGUCAGUUCGUGCCGUGAGGUGUAUGGUUAAGUCCUAUAACGAACGCAACCCUUAGGCUUAGUUACCAGCGGGUCAAGCCGGGCACUCUAAGCCGACUGCCUGAGUAAUCAGGAGGAAGGAAAGGAUGACGUCUGGUCGUCAUGGCCCUUGUGCCUUGGGCGACACACAUGCUACAAUGGUUAGGACAAUGGGUUGCCAACCCGUGAGGGGGAGCUAAUCCCAAAAAACUAACCUCAGUUCGGAUUGGAGGCUGCAACUCGCCUCCAUGAAGCCGGAAUUGCUAGUAAUCGCCAAUCAGCCAUGUGGCGGUGAAUACGUUCUCGAGCCUUGUACACACCGCCC
rnacentral:rRNA from 1 species